rnacentral:tRNA from 1 species
GCAUGGUGUAGUGGUUUGAAUGUUGGACUAAGACUCUGGAGACCAGGGUUCAAUUCCCUGUUCCA